rnacentral:rRNA from 1 species
UACGUAGGUGGCAAGCGUUAUCCGGAAUUACUGGGCGUAAAGCGCGCGCAGGCGGUCUUCCAAGUCAGUGGUGAAAGCCCGGAGCUCAACUCCGGAACUGCCAUUGAAACUGUUAGACUUGAGGACGAGAGAGGUGAGUGGAAUUCCCAGUGUAGAGGUGAAAUUCGUAGAUAUUGGGAAGAACACCGGUGGCGAAGGCGGCUCACUGGCUCGUAUCUGACGCUCAGGCGCGACAGCGUGGGGAUCAAACAGG